rnacentral:rRNA from 1 species
UACGUAGGGUGCGAGCGUUGUCCGGAAUUAUUGGGCGUAAAGAGCUCGUAGGCGGUGUGUCACGUCGAUCGUGAAAACUUACAGCUUAACUGUGAGCGUGCGGUCGAUACGGGCAUCACUGGAGUUCGGCAGGGGAGACUGGAAUUCCUGGUGUAGCGGUGAAAUGCGCAGAUAUCAGGAGGAACACCGGUGGCGAAGGCGAGUCCCUGGACAACACCUGACACUGAGGCACGAAAGCUAGGGGAGCAAACAGG